CACCAGCGCCUCGAGUGGGGAUCGCGAUUAUUGGGUCUAAAGCGUCCGUAGCAGGCUUUGUAAAUGCUUUGUGAAAUCGGCAGGCUUAACCUGCCGGCGUGCAGAGUAGACUGCAGUGCUUGAGACUGGAAGAGGUUAGAAGUAUUCCUUGGGUACCGGUAAAAUGGGUUAAUCCAGGGAGGACUACCUAUGGCGAAGGCAUCUAACCAGGACAGUUCUGACUGUGAGGGACGAAAGCUAGGGGAGCAAAACG
rnacentral:rRNA from 1 species